GGUAUUCUGAACUAAAGCAAGGAUUGUUGAAAGUUAGUUGAAAAUAGACCGUCUCUGGUUAAAUUAGUUCUACACCAAGCCUUUAGGUGGCAGUAAAACGAAUUGGCACAAUGCGAAUUCCACACACAAGCCACAAAGAAGCCAUCAGCCGCGGUCAACAGCACCUUCCUGAUUGAACAGAACCACGCGUUGUCUGUGUGGUUUACAAGUUUCUUGGCGAUAUGGGGGGAAAGUUCCUCACAUACCAACGGAAAAUGGGCUUCAUAUACAUGCUGCUGUCUCAUAAUAUGGCGAAGACGAGUCACCUGAAGGCCUAACUCGCCAUAGAAGACUGAAAGAAUUGUCCUGCAGGAUGCUGUGUCCUGCAAUCCUGUGUGCUGUGCUACAGACGCGUGUGGAGGUCAACCCAAAAUGGGCACAGUCUCACCACAGAAGAGUGAAAGAGGAUCCUGGCAGGGAGACGGUAGUGUCCUGCAGAAUGGUGAUGGGCCAAUCUUACAAGAGACCACAGAAAACUGAUAUAGUGAACUAUAGAAACAACAGUGCCUGCUGCAGUAUAACGAGGACACCCUGAGCAGAGAGCUCCAAUAGACCCAGGUCCAGUGUCUUGGCGGGGUGAAAUGGCACUGAUAUGGUGUCCUGCAGGAUGCUGUGUCCUGCAAUCCUGUGUGCUGUGCUACAGACGCGUGUGGAGGUCAACCCAAAAUGGGCACAGUCUCACCACAGAAGAGUGAAAGAGGCUCCCAGAAGUGAGACUGAGUGCCUGUUGCAGUAUGACGAGGACGCAGUGACCAGAGACCUUCAGUAGACCCUGCUGGCAUGAUUGGCGUCUGAAGAACAUGAAAUCAACAGCAAUGUUUAUAAUGUUGUACAUACCUGUAUAGUCUGUAUUAAAAGGCAGUACCUGUA